rnacentral:tmRNA from 1 species
GGGGGCGACUGGUUUCGAUUGUGUAGGUGGCUCCGUGGCUGCGCGCCCAGGUCCUCGGGUUCCUGGUAAAACACUCGGGAAUUGUACAACUGCGAAUUCUGACUUCGCUCUCGCCGCGUAAGGCCUAGCCUUACCCCGGCAGUGCCGGACCUGCAGCCCGCCCGGGGCGGCGGUCCGGUAUCGCAAAUCCGGGCUGGCCCAACGGUGUGCCUGCCACCGACGGGCGAGAUUCCAGUAGGCUCAUCCGUGUGUGGGCGGCCCGUCGGCCAGCACCCGGAGACAUCAAUCGGCGGGAUACGCGCGUAGAUGCUGCGGAAGAUCGUAUGCAAGACGGGAGUUCGAAUCUCCCCGCCUCCACUC